CCACUGUAUAUCAUAUACUCCACAAUAUAUUUACUAAAAAGAAAAAAUUAUCAUAUUUGUUGUAAAUCAUACAAUCAAAUAUGACAAAACUUAAUGUCUGCAUAAUGACUUACCACUUGAGUUCUUGUCUUUUUGUAAGAAUCGUGACGUUAAAAUUAGAACUAAAUGUGAGAUGAUUCCCUCUUGAUGAUCUGACAUUGUUAGGCAGUUCUUUAAUAUUUUAAAACUUUCUUCACUUUAUCACAUAACUACAACCCUGGCUGCAUGGACAAUAAUAUCCACAUUUAUUUUUCUUUAAAACUUUAUACUUUUCGCCGCCAUUUUUUGUAAACAUCAGUGUUUCC